AUCAAAAGUAAUGGAACCAAUCAAAAAGCAAAAAUUUUAGGAAUUUCUAAUCGAUAACCGAACCGAACGAAGUUACUCCUAUCAAAAUAAAUAAAUUUCUUUGGUUGGGUUCGGUUAUAAUUGAACAAUGCACACCCCCACCUUUAAGCAUCCUCUACUUUCCAACAUCCCGUAAAACUUCCAUGCUUAUCCAAAAAAUAUCAAGAGCCUAUCCAAAAAAUAUCAAGAGCCUAUCCAAAAAAUAUCAAGAGCCUAUCCAAAUUGCCAGAUGAACAAGUAGUGUAAAAAGUAGAUGAGCAUGAGACUCAACACUACUAUAGCACAUUAGAGACACACCAGGAGAAAUUGUUGUAUAUGAUAUUAUCUUCCAAAACAUUUUAUAAGCAUUAAUCCCA
rnacentral:misc_RNA from 1 species